AUACGUAGGGGGCGAGCGUUGUCCGGAAUUACUGGGUGUAAAGGGCGUGUAGGCGGGGGUACAAGUUACCGGUAAAAACCCGAGGCUUAACUUCGGGCUUGCCGAUAAAACUGUAUCUCUUGAGUGUAGGAGAGGGAAUCGGAAUUCCCGGAGUAGCGGUGAAAUGCGUAGAUACCGGGAGGAACACCAGUGGCGAAGGCGGAUUCCUGGCCUACAACUGACGCUGAGGCGCGAAAGCUGGGGUAGCAAACGGGAUUAGAUACCCCGGUAGUCCCAGCUGUAAACGAUGGUCACUAGGUGUGGGUGGUGGUCAAGCCAUCCGUGCCGGAGUUAACGCAAUAAGUGACCCACCUGGGGAGUACGACCGCAAGGUUGAAACUCAAAUGAAUUGACGGGG
rnacentral:rRNA from 1 species